AGUAACGCGUAUGGAACCUACCUCUUACUCUGGGAUAGCCUAGAGAAAUUUGGAAUAAUACCGGAUAGUAUUUUUAUGACACAAGUUGUAGGAAUUAAAGAUUUAUUGGUAAGAGAUGGUCAUGCGUCUGAUUAGCUAGUUGGGGUGGUAACGGCACACCAAGGCAUCGAUCAGUAGGGGCUCUGAGAGGAGGAACCCCCACACUGACACUGAGAUACGGGUCAG
rnacentral:rRNA from 1 species